CUGAUGAUGUCAUGCCCAUGUGACCAGACUCGAGUAGGCGGAGCCAGUCUGGAGUCUGCAAGAAGCACAGUUGAUUUCCGGGCUUUUGAGUGGUUUGAUCUGGUGAGGACAAGGGCAGAAGCAGGUGCAGGGUCUGGUCAUAUCGGAGGCAGACAACAAUAGGGGUGACGCGCGUUACCAGAAAGAUACCUGGUGGUGAUGUUUCCUGAGAACAUCCAGCCUUAGGGAAAACGCUAAAGAAUGGAUAUUGUAUGAAAGGUUUCAGUUGGCUUCUUCCAUUUGCUUUCUUGAAGAUUGAAUGGAUCCAGUCACCUCGUUCACAACAUCAUAUGCUUAUAUUCUGUCAUUUUUUUUUUUACCCUUGUUAUGCACUUGUCGUCAUAAUUUUUAUUUCGUUAUGCACAUGGAUUGAGCAUCUCUUUAACCCCUUAACGACAUGUGACAUAAAUUUGCGUCAACAUGCCAGUAAGAAGAUAUGGAGCUGUUGCAGAUUAUGUGUAAGUAACCAUAGGAAGAAAACGAAAUGAUGU